UUUAUUACGAGAGUUUGAUCCUGGCUCAGGAUGAACGCUGGCGGCGUGCCUAACACUUGCAAGUCGAGCGAAGCACAUGUAUACGAUUCUUCGGAUGAGGAUUCUUGUGACUGAGCGGCGGACGGGUGAGUAACGCGUGGGCAACCUUCCUUACACAGGGGGAUAACAGUUAGAAAUGACUGCUAAUACCGCAUAAGACCACAAAACCGCAUGGUUUGGUGGUAAAAACUCCGGUGGUGUAAGAUGGGCCCGCGUCUGAUUAGGUAGUUGGUAGGGUAACGGCCUACCAAGCCGACGAUCAGUAGCCGACCUGAGAGGGUGACCGGCCACAUUGGGACUGAGACACGGCCCAGACUCCUACGGGAGGCAGCAGUGGGGAAUAUUGCACAAUGGGGGAAACCCUGAUGCAGCGACGCCGCGUGAGCG
rnacentral:rRNA from 1 species